UACUUUGUGUGUUAGCUACUCUAAUAUGUAUGCUAAAGAAGGCUAUCCUCUCACUCAACAAGAACUUCAGAGCUAGUUUCCUGUGGGUGACACAGUUGACCUCCACUUCUGUCUUUCCAAUUUUGUCGUAAGCAUACAGGUGAUUUCAUUUCAAUGAAUUUAAGUUUUUCCAUCUGACAAAUGAACAUAUUUAUAUUUUCCUAUAGAGUUUUACUAGGAAUAUGAACUAACAUGUAUAAAGUACUCAGUACAGUGUUUUAAAUGUAGGAGUUAACUCAUAGUCGCGACUGUGAGGGGACAUCAGACUUCAUGGAAAAUGAAAUUAAAAGAUUUCAUGAUCAUGUAAAUGAAAAAUACAGUCAUCUUAAAGAGAAGCAUGGAAAAUUUAUUCAGGUACUGACCAAGUUCCAAGAUCACUGAUGAGUGGGAACAGCAAACCCACAGGAAUGCCUGCUGAUAACAGUAAAUUGGGCUGUUGCACUCUUGAGUCUUGGCCAGGAUCAUUGCAACCAUUGCCAAGGUGCAGAGAAAAAAAAGACAAAUUGGUCAAUCCUGAAGUUUUUCCAACUUGGUUGGCAGCUCUUAGCAACCCAAACCUCAAUCAAUUCAGGAGGAAAAUCUCACAUCAACAGAUAUUCUAUUGAAUUCUGAUCAGCACUCCUUAAAAUUACUAUGGUCACCAACAUCAAGAAAAUGUGCAACAUUGUCAACAGCCAAGAAGAGAAAUCUAAGGAGACAUGUUGACUAAAUGUGAUGUUACCUGCAUGGGAUCCUGAAGCAGAAAAAAAAAAUGGUGCUAGAGAAAUGCUGAGGAAAUCUGAAUGAUGUCUGGACUUCAGCUAGUAAAAGUAUACCAGUAUUGGUUCUUUACUGCAGUAGAAUGUAACUGAUAACCACAGCUACUGGCUGCAGAUGUGUGUAGAUUCUGUGUUACCUUGACAACUUUUCUGCAAAUCUAAAACUCUUCUUAAAAUAAAAGUAGUCCCGUAUUGCCAUGAGCAAUUGGAGUAGAAUAAAAUCAAAGAAUCUUAGAUAUAGAAGAUUCUGAAUGCAAAUACUUGAAUAACUUAAGUGUAGGCCAAGUUUAUUUGAAGGAAUAUGGAUUUUUUUUUUAAUUUGACAGGUAUAGUUAUAGACAGAGAGAGAAACAGAGAAAGGUCUUCCUUCCAUUGGUUCGUAGCCACAUCCGGUGCUGCGCCGAUCCGAAGCCAGGAGCCAGGUGCUUCCUCCUGGUCUCCCAUGUGGGUGCAGGGCCCAAGCACCUGGGCUAUCCUCCACUGCCUUCCUGGGCCACAGCAGAGAGCUGGACUGGAAGAGGAGCAACCAGGACUAGAACCCAGCGCCCAUAUGGGAUGCUGGCACUGCAGGUGGAGGAUAAACCAAGUGAGCCAUGGCGCCGGCCCCGGAAUAUGGAUUUUGACCAUUGUUUUCAUUGACAUGCAUUGUGUCCCUCUUUCAUACAUUCACACAGAACAGAAACUGUGAGCUCAUAUUUGUCUCCACAAACACAUGAGAGGAGAAGCCACGAUUGAUAUCCAGAGACAAAAGCCAAUUGAGGAAGAGUAGAGACCAGAAUGAGGGAUGAGGUCAGCAAAUAGAUUAUUUAAAAAAUAUAUUUAUUUGUUUAUUUGAAAGGCAGAGUUACAGAGAGGCAGAGGCAGAGAGAGAGAAAUUUUCCAUCUGCUGGUUCACUCCUCAAAUUGCCUCAGCAACCGAAGCUGGGCAAUCUGAAGCCAGGAGCCAGGAGCUUCUUCCAGGUCUCCCACACAGGUGCACGAGUCCAAGGACUUGGGCCACUUUCUACUGCUUUCCCAGGCUAGAGCAGAGAGCUGAAUCAGAAGUGGAGUAGCUGAGACUUGAACCGGCACCCAUAUGGGAUGCUGGCACUGCAGGAAGCGGUUCUACCUGCUACACUACAGCACAUGCCGCCAAAUAGAUUUUUUUUUUUUUUUUGACAGGCAGAGUAGACAGUGAGAGAGAAAGACAGAGAGAAAGGUCUUCCUUUUCCGUUGGUUCACCCCCAAGUGGCCACUGCAGACGACGCACCACGCUGAUCUGAAGCCAGGAGCCAGGUGUUUCUCCUGGUCUCCCAUGGGGUGCAGGACCCAAGGACUUGGGCCAUCCUCUACUGCACUCCUGGGCCACAGCAGAGAGCUGGACAGGAAGAGGAGCGACCGGGACAGAAUCCAGCGCCCCAACUGGGACUAGAACCCGAUGUGCCAGCGCCGCUAGGUGGAGGAUUAGCCUAUUGAGCCGCGGCACCAGCCACCAAAUAGAUUCUUAAGGGUUGUGAAGAGACUGAAAUUAGGAUGAAGAACCAGCAAAUAUGGAACACAUCCUUUAUUACUCAUCCAAGAGAAUUGGAUACUGCCCUGAAAAAAUUGCAUUAGAUUUUUUUAAAGUAUAUGUUGACAUUGCUUUAUGGUUCUUGGCAUGGUUAUCUCAACUCUCUAGCACACAGUGCAUUGCUGAGAAUACAUUUUUCCAAAUUUUCUUUCACUCUCAAGAUAGUCCUGGAAGAAAGCUGAUCAUUAUUUCUGGAAGAAAUUGAAAUUAAUAUUACCCUUGAGGAUCAGGAAAGAACAGAUGAAACCCAGAAAGUGUAAUGUGCUUCGUAUGGCUGGGAAUCAAACACUGAACCAAUCAUGUUUUGGCAUCUGAAACUAAACCUUAUUGUUCCUAUUUGUAAUAGUAUUUUCUCUCCUAUACAGCCUCUGUGCUUUGAAUACAUGAGGGUGCUCACAGCUGAACUGAUCGCCAUGGUUACAGGCAAUCUGUGUGUUACAUCUCCUGGAAGCAAAAAAGAGGGUAGUUUAAGGUAAACAUUAUCCUUUCGCAGAGAACAAUUCUCUCACCGUGGUACCCUCACUCACACUCAAAGUAUGAAGGUCCUUGUUCUCAUCCAGCUUCUUGUCCCACUCACAAAUGUACACCCUUAGCGUCCUAUAGAUUCUCAUAACAGAGGCUCUGCUAACUGGGCUCCUGGAGAGUGGAGGCUGGGAGCAUGUUUGGAGUUGCAGACACAAAGAAAUAUGUGAGACCUGUAAUGUUAUAUUUAUUAUUACAACGUAUUUGGUAAGCACAGAUAUUGUCAUUGGCACCAGGAAGUUGAGCCCUACUAUUUCGAUGUUGCAAUAACUAGCACUAAUACCGUGGGUACUGAUGCCAUGACAUUGCUUGCCAUUGUGUUUCCCCAGGGCUUGAUGGAGAGUUGGGGGCUUUAAACUCUGUGGAUGAAGGGCUCACAUUUACUCUUAGCGUAGCUCAUUUCCCAAGCAUGUAUUGGGAGCCUACUAGGUGUGUGCCAGGUGCUCUACUCGGCUCCAAAAAUACAGAGAAGGAUCUAUUUCUUCUCUCUUGGGGCCAGACGAUUGGUAUCUUUCCAAGGAUGAAAGAGUGAACUAUAAAAGAAGACUUCUUAGACUUUUAUUUAAGUUUUCCUAAAGAACUUGACUGUGGCUGAGAGCAAGUUUUUCUGUUUGUUAAGAGAAGGGUUGCAGGUGUGGGAGAUUGUAAUAGAAUGAGUGUUUCAGGAUCCUGGAGGCUGGAGCUGGUAUCCUGUAUCUUACUGUGUUUUGUUUUUCUAUAUAUUUUACUCUGUAUUUCGUAGUCCCCUGUGUCUCCUUUCAUUUUAUUUUUUCCUAUGUACUCUUUUCAUCUGCCUAAUAAUACAUUUAUAGAUGAUUUUUAGCUACCCCUUCUCUCUCUCAUUCUAGAUAAUUCCCAUGGUAAUUGCAGUUCUAUUGAAAUUGGAAUAGAAAUAAGGAAGUUAAUGCUAUAAUUCAUUACCAGUGAGUUCAUAUUUUUCUUUGUAAAAGAAAGAUAUUCAUGGCAUGAACUAAGUUGACUGGUUUAUUCUCUGGAAGGAAGAGGUUUUACUUCUUGGUUACAGAUCCAGUUUUUUGGGCAAGGGUUGCUAUUUUGUACAAAGUACAUAUUAAGCCUGGUUGUGUUAUGCAGGAAUAGAUCCAAGGAAAGCUCAGUGUUUGGGGUAACUGGUCAGCACCAGAUCUUGAUUGAGAUGUAUUCAUUCCCUUUCUGUUGAUUUAGAGAGUUUUGGGCAGUCUUGUAAUACACGCCCAUCUUUGUACUUGAAUGCGGGCAGAAAAUGUUGGUGUUAUGACAUGGAAAGAAGAAAAACUGUCUAGAAUUGGACUCACGUUCCAACCCCUUAUGUUUCAUUUCAGAAGACAGACAUCUUUAAAGAUCUAUUUGGGAGAAUUUGAACAGUGACAGAAGAAUUUUCAACACAUUAGAUGUUCAACCAAUUGCUUUCUUUUACCAAAGUGGGAUAAAGUUUUAUUCUGUCCACAGUAAAUUGCUUGGUGUUUCAUCUGUUCAGAUAGUUUUUUUUUUUUUAAUUUCAGAAGGAUCCUGCUUCUUCAUUUCAUCUUGAUAUUAUUUAGGCUAUUUUACUUCCUGUGAGUAAAAAGGGAAAGUGCAUGCAACACUGAGCCUACAUUUUCGUCCUUUUGGCCACAGUGGACUGAGGCUUCUAUGCUUGCUUGUGGCAAUGGUCACCUACUAACUUGGACUUGCACUCAAGCCAGCAUAAGAAAGAGGUACACCCAUUCAUGCCUUGUAGAAAGUCCAUAACUGGUGAGAAUUUUGGCUCAAUUAUUAGUUUGCAAAAAAUGUUAGAUCACAAUUUUUAGAGCCCUAACUCUUCAUUCUGUGAAUCUUUUUGCUUAUCAAGGAUUAAUACUGUGAAAAUCACUAAUCAGUUUCAGAAAAGGGUUAUUGGAAAACCUAGUAGGUCCAAUUGCAAUAGUUUAAGGAGCAGGACACCAGCAAGCCCCUUAGAUAGCAAUUCUGGCAGAUUACAUGAAUAGAAAGUGAUUAGCAGGAUUUGUUCCUGUGAAACUUUGCAGGGACGUUUAGUUUGGGGAGGAAAUAACGUGUAGGGGUUUGUGAAGGGUUGUGGAAACCACUGAAGAUGAGGCAUGUUGACUUGAUAUGGAACCACAUACGAGGAGACAUUUACUGUAAAGAGGUGUACUGUGACAUUUGACAGACACCAAAUAUCAAUGCUGGAGCCAUUCAUAUUAAGAGCCUUGAGUUAUAUAUUAAGCCUUUCCACAGUAGGCUCUUGAGCUGUAUCCUAGCUGUAUUUUAAAAUCAAAACAGCAGCAGUCAUCUCUUCUUUGUUACUUCAUUGCUAAAGCCAAGAAGACUUAGAAGCCUUCUAUAAAUAUUGAAGUUUUUCCAACACUCUGACAAACAAAUUGAAGGAGAUUAUGGGUUUGAGGUAUGUGCUGGUCAACCAGCUGCAUCCCCUACAGGUUCUUUUAAAUCUUUUUUUUUCUCCAGAAAUUUUAUUUCUGACUCUCAAUUUGUGAAGUGGACAUUGGCUAAGUAUCCCAAGAUUUGGAGUAAGCAGCUGAAAUAGUCCCAAAUAGGCAGCCAUGAAAAGAGGCCUGAGCUGUCUUAUUUGUUGGUAUGAAAGGGGGUUGUUUUAUGUUUGCUACCAAGCACUCCUCCACCCUCCUUCCCCCUUUCCUCAUUCCAGGAUAAUUAUAAAGAGUGGAUUUCUCUAGUAGAUGUGAAUUUUUGUCUUAAAACUUCAUAAGAUUUCCAUGCAAAAUUGACUUUUUCCAGGCUGGAUCUACGCAUUUCCUUCCUACUUCUUUGCUUUUCCUUUGUGGUCCCAUUUGCCUCGGUGAUCACCUCUAACACUGAGAUCCCAGCUGAUUAUUAAGGGUGUCAUUUUGACAACAGGAUGGAGCUCCACUUUUCAUGCAGUUUAGUAGAGAAUAGAGAAUAGAGCUAAAUGUUAAAAUAACUACAAGCUGGAAGAAGAAUGGUGCUGGUAAAAUGAUACUCAGAGACUAAUCAAUAGGUUUAAAUUCCAAAUUCAAACUGCCAUUAAGAUGUCUGACAAGGCGGUCAAUUUUUUUAGGUCUCUGUUUCCUCCUUCUGAUAAAUGAGAAUAUUGUGCUCAGUUUUUCGAUUUUUAAUCCUAAUGUUCUGUGGUUGGGAAAUUUAUAAUCUACAGAUGUUGAUUAUAGAAAUAAAAAUUCCUUAUCCCUAACCAAAGUACCAUCUUUAUAUUAACCAAGACACUGGAAGCAUACUUUCACGAAAGGGAUAUUCUUACCAGUUAAACUAAGCUGGUGAGAAUUCUACAUUUAAUAUUUCAUAUUAAAAAAGCCUAUCACUUCUAACUAAAGGAUAUUUCUAGAAGUGCUGUGGUGGGUAGUAUUUGGAAUUUGUGGACAUCUGGAAUGAAUUCUCUUCCAACUUUUCAUUGCUGUUCUUCCUUCCUGGGAAUCUCGAAGCCAGCAUGUGCUUAAACUUGAUUUUUCUGGACUGCAAUAUAUAGAUAAUGGAGUCUGCACCCUUAAGUCCACACGGUCACAAAUGAAGUAGUGUUCAUAACGAAAGCUCUACUUUAACAAUAAUGUUCUAAUAGAGAGCUAUAUAAUUUUUAUAUUAAAGAGCAAUAUCUCAAAUAAGGAAAUAUUGCUACAGAACCCUUAAAGAAUGUUAUUAAAAGAAAAGUCUGUUUUCUAGAAUAAAAUUCCUUGAGUUAUUGUAAUACAGGGGAAGAAAGAAAGUCUUAUCUAGUUAAAGGUUUACACUCAAAUUCAAGUAGCAUUAUUUAGAAUCUACCAGGUUCUAGACAGUCUGGCAGAUGCUUUGUUUUUCAUCACAUUGAGCCUCAUAGUGAUGCAGUAACAAAAGCCUAAUUAUUUUAUUUUCAGAUGAUGAAAGUGAGUGCUAGCAAAUGUAUUUGCCCAGGGAUUUAAACUAGAUGUCUUGGCUCUAAUUAUCAAGGAAAAAUAUCAUCUGAUCCUUUUUUUUUUUCCCCAAGAAAUUAAGUUAUUCAGAUUCUCACAAUUGCUGGGAGUAUGGUAACCAACUGUUGUCUCAGGGAAGUUCUAUAUUGAAAAGACAAAUGACUUGGGAAAUAUAUAUCAAAGCAGCCUGCUCUUAUAUUGCAAGUAUGUACUUCUAUAUUGUGGAAUUUCUUGGGUAAGCAAUCUCUUGAUGGGUUUGCCCAUACCACAGAGAUUUGCUUAGUAAGCCCUUUUCCUGUGAAAUAGUGCAAAGGUAACCAUUAACCCACGUCCUAGCAAAUACUGGAAUAACACAAUUCAUACAAAUUUGGAUUUAUCUUCUUACCAUUAUGCGAAUAUACUACUGUUAGUUUAGUUGCACUCAAACAGCUUCAUUUAUCUUGGAUAGCAAAGGUUCUGUAAUUUUAAAUCUAUGCUUUAGAAAGUGUUGAAGCUGUUAUAGAAAACAUAUUUGGCCACUUUUCAAAGUUCAAAAUAAGAAGAAUUUUUGAUGUUGGAACUACUGAUUUACAUCAGAAAGUUAAUAAAGGUUUACAAUUUUUAAUAUCUUUUAACACUUAGAGAAAAGAACUCAGCAAUUAUUGCCAAAAUUCCUAUUUUAACAGCCAAAAAUGUCUGAAAGAAUGAGUCCCAGAUUGGUUUGAAAAUCAUCACACUUUUUUUGCUACUCUUUAAGCCUGUUUGAUUGGUUAAUGAAAACAUUUUCAAAGAGAUAUUCUACUGCAUGGUUUUUCUGUGCCCUGCCUGGAAGAAAUAAUCCUUGGAGGGAAGAAUUUAUUGGGAAGAAAGAUGAAAGUCAUCACCAGCAUAAUGUCCACUAUUUUUUUUCAAAGAUUUAUUUAUUUAUUUGAAAGUCAGAGUUACACACAGAGAGAAGGAGAGGUAGAGAAAGAGAGAGAGAGAGAGGUCUUCCAUCCUCUGUUCACUCCCCAGUUGGCCGGACCGGCCAGAGAUUUGCCAAUCCGAAGUCAGGAGCCUGGAGCCUCUUCCAGGCCUCCCACAUGCAUGCAGGGACCUAAGGACUUGGGCCAUCUUCUACUGCUUUCCCAGGCCAUAGCAGAGAUCUGGAUUGGAAGUGGAGCAGCCGGGACUAGAACUGGCGCCCAUAUGGGGUGCCAGCACUGCAGACGCAGCUUUACCAGUGUCCGGCCCCAGUGCCCACUAUUGCAGUGCCUUCCUUAAUGACCCUGCUUGGCCCCAAGUGCCUGGAAGACACUGAUGCUCUCAGUGGUACAUGUAAGCAUCAGAUGGUGAGAAGCACCUUAACAGAAGGUGAUGGUUGUUCCUGUUUUAUCCCCAAAAAGAGGUGCAGAGAGCAAAAGCAAGCAAACAAACAAAAAUCCCAGCUCCCACUUAAAAUGCACAGCAGAAUCAUGAUCUCUUAAUUCAGUGUGAUUUUAUGAAAACAUACUCAUGAUGUUCCUCAGCAGUGACCCUGAUCUCAAGUCGUGUUCUGGCCACUGGUUUGCUGUUAGCCUUGAUUAAUUUUAGCCUGGGUUGAGAUGAAACAUAUUCAUCAACAAACCCUGCUAAGGUGGCUCAUCCUUCACAUUCCCAGAUAUCUGUCUGAUGCUUUGUGAAGUGUCUUCUUUACAGGAGUUAGAUCCUACACAGAGUUGCCUGUCUCUAAAGGGCUGUAGGAAACAAGAAUGAAUAAUGGUUACCAUACUUCCAUUGAAAUCUGGACAGGAACAGUUGAAGGAAUAGGGAUCAUUCAGGAUUUUGCAAGGAGGUGGGGAGAAGACAGGGUGGAGGGGGAGAGGGAGAGAGAGAGAAACAGUCUUUUGGUAAAUUUUUCCUCCUGCUCAAAUCUGAAAAUGCCUUCCUUGAUCUAUCCUGUUCUCCAGGAAACACCUGCUUUUCCAGUUGAUCCUUUGUUGAUUACUGACAGUGCAGGGCGUCAAGGGGAAAAUAGCAUUUCCUCUGUGUUAGAGGUUCAGACAUUAUUUUCUUUCCUUUCCUUUGAUGGAGGAAAAAUGCAGGGUGAUGAGAAAGCCUUGAUUGCCUUCACCAGAUUACCUUUGCAUUAUAAAUCCAUUCCAGUGGAUAACCAGGGCUUGAAUAUGCCAGAGGCUCACCAUAUCUAAUUGAACUUUCUCUUGUGGUUCCAUUUUGCUUCUGAAGGGCUACAGAAUUGGAGCUAAUAGACAGAGAAAGGGUCUUCCAGAACAUUACACUUAAUUUGACAGUAUUGCCCAUUUGUAAUAUCCCAAAUGCCUCUCAGCCCCUUUGUGUGUACUUCCGCUGAUGCUUCAAGUACCAUUUUGUGGGGUGGAGGGUAAUCAUUCCAUUAAGUACACUUUAUUCCCCUACAAUGCCCUUUCCAGUUUUCAAUUGUAGGGAAUUAUGAUCAUUUUGUUUUUAAAGUACAUAACCAUUAGCUUUUUGGUAAUAAUACUUACAAAUAAUUUUUCUUUUUUAAAAAAAAUAUUUAUUUAUUUGAAAGUCAGAGUUACACAGAGAGAGAAGGAAAGGCAGAGAGAGAAGUCUUCUAUCCGCUGGUUCACAACCCAGUUGGCUGCGAAGGCCAGAUCUGUGCCCAUCCGAAGCCAGGAGCCAGGAGCUUCUUCCAGGUCUUCCACACAGGUGCAGGGGCCCAAGCACUUGGGCCAUCUCCCACUGUUUUCCCAUGCCAUAGCAGAGAGGUGGAUCGGAAGAGGAGGAGCUAAGACUUGAACUGGUGCACAACUGGGAUGCUGGCACUACAGGUGGUGGCUUUACCCACUAUUGCCAUAGUGCUGGCCCUACAAAUACUUUUUCAAUAAGGUGGAACUUUGAUAGUGUUUUCCAAAAACCUCUCAAGGAAAUAGACGAGUAAAAAUCUAAUAGUUGCCUCUUGUGCCUUUGUCUAAAAUUUCCUGCUACAUUUGAAGCUCCUGUGGUCAUCAGAUUCCAACAACCUCACCUUUUCACUGUUCUGCAUAGACUCUGAGUUCACUUUUAUUCUGUAACCACAAAUUAGGAUUUUUUGUGAUAUGUAGCAGUAACUUGAAGAGGUGCCAAAGGUAUGAAACACACACACACAGAGAAUUAAAGCAUGUGAGUUAACACAAUGUACUGAGUAGUUUUUUUUUUUUUUUUAAGACAAAAUAAAUUCAUGACCUCCAAAACAAAUUGAGAUGAAAUGGGCAAAAGGGUUAACAUACAGAAUUCAUGAGUUGACCUAGAAAAUAUGAAAACAGACCCAGAUAUGUAAAUUUUUUAAGAUUUGUUUUAGUUUGACAGUAUUACCCUUUUGUAAUAUCUCAAAUGAUUUGAAAGGUAGAAUGACAGAAGAGAGAGAGAGAGAGAGAGAGAGAUUUUCCAUCCUCUGGUUCACUCCCCAGGUAACCGCAAUGUCUGGGGUAGAGCAAAUGGAACCCAGGGGCUUGAAACUUCAUCUGGAUCUCCCAGAUGUCCCAGGUGCGUUAGCAAGGAACUGAAUCAGAAAGUAGAGCAGCUGGAACUCCAACUGGUAGUCAGAUAAGGCAUGCCGGUGCCACAGGCAUCAUUUUAAGCAGCUGUGCCACAACGCUGACCCAUUGGGAUUGAAUCUUGAAUGUGAACUUGUUGAAUCUUUUGAAUCUGUUUACUGAUUAAUUCAUUAAACAAUUUUAUACUGAAUGCCAUGCACUACAGUGCCAGCUUCUGGUAACAGCAACAAAAGUGACAAAUCUAGUCCCUGUCUUCAGGGAACUUACGUUCUAAUGAGAAGAACAUGUACUAUUUUAAAAAUUACAGAAACCAAUUGCAUCCAUACAUAUGUGAUGAAAUCUACAAAAACCAGGUAAACUAAAAUCCAUUUUUAAUAAUAAUGCAUGCACCUCUACGUUCAGCAAUGGUCCUAUGAACCUUUCAAAACACACUAUGUUAUGAAUUACACAUUUCAAAUAUUAAUGUCAAAUUAUUUAUUAGCAAUCAGACACAUAAGAUUUUCAUUUCAUAACUCUUUUUAUUUGAAUCCUGUAAGUGGGCAAGAAAACCUCUAUCAGAUGUGCCAAACAAAGUCUACUUUUCUGCUUAUAUUCUCAAAAGGGGUUCCCAAAACAUACUGGGAUGAUGAUGAUGGAGAACUCUACUAGUGGCAUUUCAGUGUGGAGAUGAGCAUUUGUCCAGAAACCAAGUGGCUUAGAUCUUUGCUCUGUUCUGACACCAAUCAGUAAGGAAGUUAUGUGGCUGAAAUACCUUUUAUCUUUAAAAUAGAAAAUAUUAUUAUUAUUUUAAUAUUAAUUAUAAUAUGAUUAACCACAGUCUAUAAUGAACACACAAUUAAUUAAAUCAAUUAAAUUGAUCGUAUGGAUUGAAUUUAUGACUUUUUAAAUAAAUUGAUAUGUAGUUAUGUGGUUAAAUUAGGUAGGCAGUUCUCAAAGAACUAAAUAUAUUUUAGUAUUUGAAUUCUAACAAGCAAUAGGAAUAUUUAACAUUAGCAGAGAAAUAACACAUCAGAGAGGUCAUUAGAAUGUAACAACUAAAUUAAAUCUACACUGCAGUCAAUAUAUGCAGAAUUGGUGCUGAAAAUAUGGAAUUGGUAUGAGACAAAGGUAAUUGGGAGAAGUUUCUUAACUGUAUAUUUUUAUUCAAAGAAAUGAAAAUGAUGAAAUCAAAGUGAUCAAUAAGAAAGCCAAAUUCUAGUUAAUGGAUAAAAUGUGAAGAAGUGAAUUUGUAAAAAGAGACAACAAGAGAAUGAAGCACUUAUUCAGGAUAUACUGGAAUAAAAGUUUUCUGAGCUAAAUGAAUAUCCAAUUACUUUGCUCAUUUUUAUUCUCAUCUUGUAAAAAGCACUUGUUAUUUAUUUUGUGUGUCUUAUUUGUAUGACUAAGCAAAAGUUCCUGGGCCUUAUAUGAAUUAUUUACAAGAAGACACAGCUUUUUAUAGUUUUUGAAAUGGUUAUGAUACUUUAAAUUUUAUCUGUGUAAAAAUCAAGCAAAGUUUAAAUUCAUAUAUCUAAAAUCACUCUAGGAUUACUCACAUAAAUUUGAAUUAACCACUAGAUUAGCCAUUGAUUUGUUGCAUAUGAACUUUAAUGACAAAAGUAGCCUCAUACAUGAAUCGAAAACAUUUGUCAUAGAUGUUAUUAACUUUUUAGAUUUAAUAAUCUAUAAAAGUUAAUAGCAUUUAUGUUAAAAAUGCUUCCUGGAUGAAAAAGUAAACUAUAAAGGUAAAUAACAAAAUUACCAUUGCCAUCAAUGAAUCUGGUAGCGUGGUUGGGGAGAAAAACAUAUUCAGGAAAAAAAAAAUAAAUGAACAAAGAAAAGGUCAUUAAAGGUGCAAAAUAUAGUUUGAAUAAAGAAUCAAGACGUUUCAAAAUUAUUUAACUCCUGGUUAUUUGAAAGAGGAAAUUUCAAUGUAUGUGCAGAAUUAUGUUUGAUUUCAAAGAAUUCUUCAGACUCUGAAGAUUGGAUGUAAUUUCAGCUGAAGGAAUGGAUUUAAACAUUGUCAGUGGGGCAUCUGUUUCAGAUCAUUCCAGUUCUCCUGGAGGGGAGUCAACUGACUUGGUUCUGUCAUCCUAUUCCAUUCCUUCUGUCUCCUCUUCUGCAGCAUCAUCAUCAUUGUAACUUUUACUUUUAAAUUAUUUAAUAAUUAAAUCUAAUAUUUGUGUGGUAUGAGUUCUAUGCUGAGUACUAUCCAAAGUCUGUCAUUUAAUAUAUAUUAUUCAAUAAUCCUCAUAACAAUCUUAUAAGGUAAGUACUAUAUUUACCCCCAUUUUACAGAGGGGGAGGCUGAAUCAAGAUUUAAGUAACCUCCUCAGAUUACAACUUACAAAUGGCAGGCCUGGGAUGUGAACCCAGCUGUGUGAAUCUAGACUUUGUGCUCCCAGUGGGUUGGACUGCCCUACCCACAAUCAAGUCUUACAAUUGAUGCUGCAGGAAUCUUCAAAAGAAAAUGAAGAAUGAGAUUAUUAUCUUCAUUCCCCUAUAAGAAUACUGAUAAAGAUCAAUUCCCCAAAAUUACAGCAUUAAUAAGUGACAAAGCUAGCGUUCAAACCCAGGUUUCAGUGAAUCUACUGUCUCUCAUGGAAUUUUAGAUACCAUAUCCUCUAAGCAGCAACUUCAAUCUGAAUUCAAAAUAUUUGUAUCCUAUAAACAUGUAAAAUAUCUUUGAAAGGUGACUUUUAUUUUAGGAGAUCUAAUUUUAAAUAAAUAUCCAGAAGCAGACUUUCUUGGAUAGGAUUGUAUUUAAUGCUUGGUAACAAAAGCUUUUAUUUAUAAAUACAGGAUUCCAAAGAGGAAUACCAAGAACACCAAAAAAUAAAAAUCACCUCAACAUGUUAAACCACACUUGACUUAAACUUAAGUAAUUUUAGAGCAAAUGAACUGUUAUAUUUGUCCUCUCUUAUCUGAUAUUAGACAGUCCUUCCUGUGUAUGACAUAAACAAAUAAGUGGAGGAGCAUUGAAAUCACUACAUCAAGUAUAACAAUGUAAGUAUUUUUUCAACUUUUAUUUAAUAAAUAUAAAUUUCCAAAGUAUAACUUUUGAAUUAUAGUGGCUUUUCCCCCAUAACCUCCCUUCCACUUGCAACCAUCCCAUCUCCCACUCCCUCUCCCAUCCCAUUCUUCAUCAUGAUUCAUUUUCAAUUAUCUUUAUAUACAGAAGAUCAACUUAGUAUAUACUACGUAAAGAUUUCAAGUGGUUUCAAUGAAGAAUGUGUGUUCAAUCAAAUAGAUAAUUGAAUCUGUGUUCUGGAAUUUUGGGUAGAUGACUUUGAGGAGAAGCAUUCACGUAGACUUGAAGUUAGUGAUCUAACAAGAUGUGUGCGUUAAGAUUUUCCAGUGAUAUUGAUGGAUUUUUAAGCUAUCACCAUUCUCACUUGGGCACUGUGGUGUUUGGACUACUCCUUAUAUGACACUUGGCUGACAUUUAGCUAUCUGUGUCAAACUGGAUGAAACCAAUUGGUUUGUCAUAUAAAUCGAUCCUUUGGUUUCACAUUUCUUUUCAUUAUGUUCCAACUGACUGAUCUAUUCAACCUAGAAUAUCUUCUGAUUUGAUUUUUUCAUGUUGGCUACUUGUGUGAGUCUUAAUACAUUUUCUAGUCUUAGCUCUCUUCUAUUUACAAAGCAAAGAAAGCCACAUACUACUUCUGCCUGUUUUGUGUUUCUGGAUAGUAAGUUGAACGAGUACUUUUUAAACUUGUCAGGUAAAAGUGUUAGGGAGAUUAUUUAAAGGCGAAACCACACUUAGUCUAUUCAAGUUUGAGCCAACUUAAAUUCUCUUUGGGUUAAGGCCAACUCAAAAUACGUCUCAAGUUCCUGACAUGAAAGAACCAUACUUGUAUAAAGAAAGGAAAUUUAAGACCACCUAGUGAUUUUUAAUAUCACAGAGAAAAGUUUAGCUGAUUUUGGGUUUUCCCUUUAGAAAAGUAGAUUUAAAAUGCUAAUAAAGCCCAGUCCAAUCUUCCUUUGAAAAUGAAAAAGGGAAUGAGGGCACAGUGUUCAUUUAAUGAUGGGUGCAUGAAAAUGACAGUGUCCUAGGGAUCAAGAGAAAUGAUGUAAAUCUUUUAAAAUGAGAAUAUUAAAAACUUUCUCUUAAGUGCUAAGGCAACAUAUACAGAGGAUAGUAAUAAUGCCUACAAGAGGAUGAAAUAUAUAUUAAUGAUAAAUACAUGUAUAUAUAUAUUAUGUAUUUUUUCUGCUGGGAUUCAAAUAUAUGAAUAAAUAUAUGUCAGAUAUUGAUUUUUGAAAUAAUUUAAACAUAAUGGCACUUCAAAACAUUCACUGAAAAAUAGGCUUGGAAGAUUUUUUUAUUUUAUUUUAGUUUAAAAAAUUCCUGAAGCCCAUGCAAUCUUUUCAUAAUUGGCAUUUUCCAUGAACUUUUUGAAGACUCUUUGUAUACACAGAUUUCCAAAUUUUUUCCACUAAAAUAUACUUCUCUUUUAAUUACAUUUUCCACGAACUUUUGAAGGCUUCUCUUACACAUUUUUAUUUAAAAUGAUAUUUAUUUUAUUCUGUAGCUUAUCAGACAUUUUUUGAAGAGAUUAUGUGUUUAUUAUCCUACCCUUUUCUGGAAAAUUUUAUCUUCUUUUUUCUGUUCCUAACUUUGUAACUGCCCCAUUGGUCUUAUUCUAUCGUUCUUUAGGCAUGCCAUACAUACUUGAUUUACAGGAUACUGUGAUGCACUUAAUUAAAUAUAACAUGCAAAUAUAGAGGCUGGAACUUCAAUUGCUCAUAAUUCCUGUCCUAGAGCUUAAUGGAUGUCAUUGAAUUAUCUUCUCAACUUUUACCUGGAAAUUUUUCUUCUAGAAAUUUGCCCAUAGCACCUUAAAGCCUUGAGACCAACUUGUAGUUGUAAAGGUCAGUUAAAAAAGAAAAAGACUAUGAUGUCCAAAUCAGUCUUUUAAGAAAAAUAAAAAGCAAAGCAUGUUGAAUACAAGUAUCUGGUGAAACGCCUGUCCAAAAUUGUAGUCGCAUUUUAUUCUAUGGUAUAUUCUGACACCUAUCCUGAGUUGAUAUAUUUCCUAUUAGGUGGUGCUAAAUAUUGAGGUGCUAAGAUUGUGCAGUCUGAAAUCACACUGCAGAGCUGGGUGAUGGGCUCCUAUGAACAUUUUGUGCUGGAGGAAACAGGACAUGGAGGAGAAACUCCAGCAGUAGACUGCGCAUUACGUAUGCGCAUGCACACUCUCAGUUUCUAACUGGUAGGGUGGCAGGUCAAGAAGUAUCUUUCCCAUCCCUUUCUCUUACAGCAGAUUCUUUUGUCGGCUGAAGCUUACCUUAGGUUAUAGCUGCAGUAUUUCCUGAUUUUAGCUGACUAGUACGCUGCUUCACCCAGGGAUAGAGAGAGUUGGGUGUGAAAAGAAAAAGCAUCACCAUUCUGUAAAGACCAAGGUGUGUAAUAGCAAUGCAUUUUGGAGACCGGAAGAAUUGGGCAGAAUAUCAGUUCCUCUGUGGCGUCUUUUCAAUACUAUUUAUGUUCUUUCACCUUUGGAAAAUUCAGUGUGUCAUUGUUUUUUCUUUUAAUUGGCAGUUCAGAAAAUUUUCACAUCAAAGUUUUCAAGUUGAAAGAUGUAAUUUCAGUAAGUUUUACCCAGGUAGAUACUCACAUUCACUAAAUAAUCCAAAAAAAAUGGCCAUCUUUAAAUAACAAAAGCUCAUGGUUAAAAUAUUAUCAACGAAUGUUCACGCAUUAGCCAGAGCGAUUCUCCCUGGCCUGAGUCCAGGCUCAUCUUCAUGAGUGAAAAGAGAACAUUUUGUAUUCUACCUGCCAGGUGAGAAUCUGAGUCACACUUUCCCAACUGAUGUUUUUGGAGGCGGAGAGCCGAUGAGAAACUUAAACUGCACAGUUCUUUCUUAAUAUAAUGCAUAAAAUAUUGACAGAGCAUGUAAUAUGGAUGGUUUUUAAUUUCAAGAUCUGGUUAUAAAGUUCUGAUCAAUGAUCUAGAAGAACACUAGCUAAUUUAGAACAUAAUUCUUGGAGGAGUUUGCUUUGCCCAGGGGCUUUGGCUUGAGAGAGACCUUUGAAACUGUUUAGCAUUGCUCUCCUUUGAGACUCCUGAGCAGCACAAUCCGGGUAGCUUCACGUUUGGAUGUUUCAUCUCACUAAAACGCUCUUUUUUUCCCUAUUCGUUUCCCAGGCUUUUUUAAUAGUCGUAGCAUGCCAUUGGGUUAAUAGAACAUUUUUCUAGGGGAUUAUUUUAUUCAUUAAAUGAGAUUUUUAUUAGCCAACUUAGCAUUUAAAAUUUAAUUCAGAACAAUUGAAAACAAUGAAUGAGUUAAAGAGACUGCACAUUUUGAGAAACUAACAUUUUGGUUAUACUGUUUAAAUCAAAAUUUUGUCUUCAAGUACUGAUGGGUUUGGUGAUUCUGUUGUUUAAAUUAUUUCCUACUUUUAUGCUAAACUCUAUAAUCAAACCCUAACAGUUAAAAAGUUUCAUGUUGUGCUUCACCCUUAUUCUGGGGGUCUCAGAUUCAGUAAACUGGACAAACAUCACCCUAUCCCUUCCAUUUUUAGUGUGGCUCUUUGGACUGGAAUUGUUCACACUUCCUUCAGUAUUCUACAGUAUUCUACUUCACCUCAGAUGUCAGAGUCCAGUUUUGUCUGUCAUUGCCUGCACCCACGCCAGACAGUUCUUAAACUCUUUUCUGUAUUCUAUUGGCUGUGUUUAAAGGUUUCCCAUUUUUUUUUAUUUCUUUCUUUCUUUCUUUCUUUCUUUAUUUAUUUUGACAGGCAGAGUGGACAGUGAGAGAGAGAGACAGAGAGAAAGGUCUUCCUUUGCCAUUGGUUCGCCCUCCAAUGGCCGCCGCGGCCGGCGCGCUGUGGCCGGCGCACCGCGCUGAUCCAGAGGCAGGAGCCAGAUGCUUCUCCUGGUCUCCCAUGGGGUGCAGGGCCCAAGCACUUGGGCCAUCCUCCACUGCACUUGCGGGCCACAGCAGAGAGCUGGCCUGGAAGAGGGGCAACCAGGACAGAAUCCGGCACCCCGACUGGGACUAGAACCUGGUGUGCCGGCGCCGCAAGGCAGAGGAUUAGCCUACUGAACCGCGGCACCAGCCCUGUGUAUAGCUUUAGACCAAGUUAUCACUGCCCUCCUGAGACUUCUGCUAGGCAACCCUUCUCUACCCUUCCAAACUUACCUCUCAUGACUCUUCUCUAGAAAAUACCUACCUUUCACAGAGCAAGCCAAUCAGUGCCCCUAGAAUUCCCUGCCUACGUCUUUACACAUGUACUUUUGUUUUGCAUUUUCCCCAAACUUUCUGUAUUCUCAUUUCCUUAUUAAAUCCAGUUCAAGCAUCUCUUUUUUUCCUUUAAAUAUCUCCACAUGAAUUCUGCUCAGUUUUCCCUCUCUUCCCUUUGGGUUUCUGUUGCUGCCAUGAACUGAGUACUUGUAACUCCCUAAAACGCAUUAUGUUGAAAUCCUAAACCCCAGUGUGGUAGUAUUUGGAGGUGGGGCCUUUGGGAGGUAACAAGGCCAUAAUGGUUAGCCCUUCAUGAAAGAGGCUUGUCCUUUUAUAAAACGGAUCCCCGAGAGCUCCCGUUCCCUUUAUCUGCCAUGUGAGAAUGCAAUGACAACUUGGUUGUCUGAAACCCAAGAGGGUCCUCACUAGAACUCAACAGUGCUAGCAUCCUGUUCCUGGAUCUCCCAGGCUCCAGAACUGUGAGAAAUAAAUUCUGUUGUUUAUAGAUCAUACCAUCCAGUCUAUGCUGCUUUGCUAUUGCAGCCUGAACUAAGGCACUAACUUCACCAUUCACCAGAUCAUAAUCACCUGGCCAGUCUUUAACGUAUCCUUUAUUUUCUUGGAAUAUCAUAAAAAGGGCAAAAAUGAUAUUUUCUCUGUCUUAUUCAUAUACAACACAAAAUUCCUACUCCAUGGAAGGCACACAAUGAUUGCUGAAAGAAAAAAAUAAAGAAUGGGAAGGAGGACGGGAAGGAGUGAAGGGAAAGGGGGAAGAUAGGGAGAAAGGAGAAGAAAGGAAAGAAGGAAGGAAGGAAGGAAGGAAGGAAGGAAGGAAGGAAGGAAGGAAGGAAGGAAGGAAGGAAGCUGGGAGAAAGGAAGGAGGAAAGGUCUAAAGGGCGAGGCCGCCUGCAGUGCUCCCAUCCCAAAAGGGCACAACUUCAAGUCCCGGCUGCUCCACUUCUGAUAGAGUUCCCUGCUAGUGCUCCUGGGAGUUGGGGCCCUGCAUGCCUGUGGGAGACCCAGAUAAAGCUCUAGCUUAGGGUUUCAGCCUGGCCCACCCCUGGCCAUGGCGGCCAUUUAGGGAGUGAACCAGUGGAUGGAAGAUCUCUCUCUCUCUCAUCUCUCCUCCUCUCUGUCUCAGUAACUGCCUUUCAAAUAUAUAAAAUAAGUCUUUAAAAAGAGUGAGGAAGGAAGGAAUGAAGAACAGAAGGGAGGAAAACAGGAAAGAAAUAGGGAGAGAGGGAAAAAGAAGCAGUGAGGAGGGAUGAAAGAAAGAAGGAGACAUAGAGAGGGAAGGGGAGAAGGAGAGAGAUUUAACUCUUGUCUCAAGAACCGAAGUGUAAAGUUUGAAAAGGAAGGACCAUACCAUUUUGUGAAAAGAAACCAUGAAUAUCUCUUGCACAACUAUAGAUGCCUACACAUUCCUGCAUUCAAUAAGGAGUUGUCACUCUUUUUAUGCA